UUCUCUACCACAGCAUGAGAAGGAAAUGAAAAUCCAUGAGUGAAAUUACUGGAAUCGCUUAGGCUGGGAAGAAGGGAAUGACUAAGUUAUCAGGAAAUGGGCAUCAAAAUUACGUAUAAACUAACUGUAGCACUUCUCCAGAACUCAAGGAAGAGAAUCAAAAGCCAUUGAAUAUAUAGCACAAAGAGGUGCAACUUUUCAUAGCGGCAUGGAAUUAACCUGUAAAAUCUGCUGCUGCAGGAUAUUAUCAUUGAACCAAAGCAGUUAGUUGUGUUCAAAUUUGGCACCACAGACCCCGUGCCAGUAGUGGAGCGGUGCUCGUUCACCCCAGGGCUGCCUAGAGCCUGGAGACAUACGAAUAUUAACAAUGACACUAGCAAGGUUAUCACGUUACGAAAGGGACAUCCUUUACAUCUCUUUGAUGUCUGUUAGGGCUGGGACAAUACAUAAAUCAGUAGCGGAGAAAAAAGGACUGGAGAAGGCACUGGGGUGAUAAGAGCAAGUGUGAAAAAAUGAGGGCAACAAACACACCCAAGAGAAGGAGCCAGAAGAUGAAAAACAACAGGAAGAUUAAAGAAGAAAUCAUACAGGAAGCAUGCUGCACACAAACUGGAGCUAGGACCUAGCCAGCCAAAGAGGUGUGGAUACUGACUGCAUCACCUGGUGUCAGGUUUUAUAAGCCAUUCAGAGAACUGUGCAGCUGGACCAGAAGUGACGGACUGCCCAUACAACAUGCUCAGGAUGCUCAGUGCUGAGAUGAUCUGCCUUCUGAAUAUGAGAGCAAGUUGCUCACUUCUACUAUGACAACCGUGCUGUUUGCUAAGGGGCCUUGAGAGGAGCACCAAGUACAGUUGGGCUUGGAGGAAAAUCAGCUGCGUCGCUGUGCCAAGCGCCCGCAGAGCCUCCACUCCCGCACCCUGCUGUGGUCCCCACCAUCCGGCCCAUGCUCCUGCCAGCCAGCGCAGCAACGCCGCGUGAGUGAAACCCUUUAUCACAACAUUGCACUAAAAGUAUUAAUUUAAGUAAUUACAUGAUUAAUAUUUAACCAUUCAGUGAUAUUUUUGUCAUUCAUAAUUCAGUUGUUUGCAUUUAUUAAAAAUUGAUUCUGUAGACACUUUUUCUGCCCAAUGUCAAUUCAGCAGGGAGCGUGCAUUUUAGAGAACUGUCAUUAAAUGUGGCUCUCUUCUAAUUUCAUGGGAGGAAAAUUAUGGGAGGAAAAAGCGAAAGGCCUGUCGGUGAGCUCCUCCAGCACAUGGCUCUGUGCUGUGCUCGGUUCCCUUCUCCAUCCCUGCU